UACGGAGGGUGCAAGCGUUAUCCGGAUUCACUGGGUUUAAAGGGUGCGUAGGUGGGUUGGUAAGUCAGUGGUGAAAUCUCCAGGCUUAACUUGGAAACUGCCAUUGAUACUAUCAAUCUUGAAUACCGUGGAGGUCAGCGGAAUAUGUCAUGUAGCGGUGAAAUGCUUAGAUAUGACAUAGAACACAAAUUGCGAAGGCAGCUGGCUACACGAAUAUUGACACUGAUGCACGAAAGCGUGGGGAUCAAACAGG
rnacentral:rRNA from 1 species